UUCCGUAGGUGAACCU
rnacentral:rRNA from 1 species